AGGAUGGAAGAAGAAGGAAAAUGAGAUUUAACAAAAUGUAAAAUUUCACAGUAAAUCCACGACAGCCUGACACCAGUGCAUGAGCACCAGCACCCUGCAGCUGUCAUGUCAACUCUGAAUGGUUCAGUCGUCAAGACCUACAGCUCAAACUUCUGGAUGCUUCACCGAUUCAUCGCUUCGCCCUGCAACCUCUUUGCCUUGGAAACGAAACUACUCACCACUAUCACUGUCCUGCCCUCCUACCUGCCAUCUUCUCUGGAUAAGAUUUGAACCUCUCUCGGCUACCUUCCCUGGAGCCUCAUGGCUUUGACCUUCAGUAGUACCCUGGGAAUAUACCGAGCGCAGCUGUGUCAUGUUCCAGCUCCAACAUGGUGGACUUGAUCUCACCGUCCAAAACAAUGCUGGAGAUUGUGCCAGUCUUGUCACCGGGAGUGAAUUUCAGAAGCAUCCCAGAGGCAGCUCUCCAC